CAGCAGCCGCGGUAAUACGAAGGGUGCAAGCGUUACUCGGAAUUACUGGGCGUAAAGCGUGCGUAGGUGGUGGUUUAAGUCCGUUGUGGAAGCCCUGGGCUCAACCUGGGAAUUGCAGUGGAUACUGGGUCACUAGAGUGUGGUAGAGGAUAGUGGAAUUUCCGGUGUAGCAGUGAAAUGCGUAGAGAUCGGAAGGAACAUCUGUGGCGAAGGCGACUAUCUGGGCCAACACUGACACUGAGGCACGAAAGCGUGGGGAGCAAACAGGAUUAGAUACCCGAGUAGUCCCUGUCUCUUAUAA
rnacentral:rRNA from 1 species